UAAUAUUACCGGAGGUACUUACUCCUCGACAGGUCAAUAGCUGGCGAAUGGUUAAUAAUACUAAGCGUAUGAUAAGUACGUCUUCCCAGUUAGGAAAGUCUGAUAGAAAUAUCAGACUUUUUUAUUUAGGU
rnacentral:ncRNA from 1 species